UCCAUGUCACUAAUCCAGAGAACACCAGGA
rnacentral:piRNA from 1 species